rnacentral:rRNA from 1 species
UACGUAGGGUGCGAGCGUUGUCCGGAAUUACUGGGCGUAAAGAGCUCGUAGGUGGUUUGUCGCGUUGUUCGUGAAAACCGGGGGCUUAACCCUCGGCGUGCGGGCGAUACGGGCAGACUUGAGUACUGCAGGGGAGACUGGAAUUCCUGGUGUAGCGGUGGAAUGCGCAGAUAUCAGGAGGAACACCGGUGGCGAAGGCGGAUCUCUGGGCCAUAACUGACGCUGAGGAGCGAAAGCAUGGGGAGCGAACAGG